rnacentral:rRNA from 1 species
GAUGAACGCUGGCGGCGUGCCUAAUACAUGCAAGUCGAGCGAACGGACGAGAAGCUUGCUUCUCUGAUGUUAGCGGCGGACGGGUGAGUAACACGUGGAUAACCUACCUAUAAGACUGGGAUAACUUCGGGAAACCGGAGCUAAUACCGGAUGAUAUUUUGAACCGCAUGGUUCAAAAGUGAAAGACGGUCUUGCUGUCACUUAUAGAUGGAUCCGCGCUGCAUUAGCUAGUUGGUAAGGUAACGGCUUACCAAGGCAACGAUGCAUAGCCGACCUGAGAGUGUGAUCGGCCACGCUGGAGCUGAGACACGUCCCAGACUCCUCCGGGAGGCAGCAGUAGGGAAUCUUCCGCAAUGGGGGAAAGCCUGAGGGAGCAGCGCCGCGUGAGUGAUGAAGGUCUUCGGAUAGUAAAACUCUGUUAUUAGGGAAGAACAUAUGUGUAAGUAAAUGUGCACAUAUUGACGGUACCUAAUCAGAAAGCCACGGCUAACUACGUG